AUGCCAAUGGCACUGCCCGGUAGCUAAAUGCGGAAGAGAUAAGUGCUGAAAGCAUCUAAGCACGAAACUUGCCCCGAGAUGAGUUCUCCCUGAGACUACAAGUCUCCUGAAGGAACGUUGAAGACGACGACGUUGAUAGGCCGGGUGUGUAAGCGCAGCGAUGCGUUGAGCUAACCGGUACUAAUGAACCGUGAGGCUUAACCUUACAACGCCGAAG
rnacentral:rRNA from 1 species